UGAGGGAAAGGCGAAAAGAACCCCGGCGAGGGGAGUGAAAAAGAACCUGAAACCGUGUACGUACAAGCAGUGGGAGCACCCUUCGGGGUGUGACUGCGUACCUUUUGUAUAAUGGGUCAGCGACUUAUAUUCUGUAGCAAGGUUAACCGUAUAGGGGAGCCGGAGGGAAACCGAGUCUUAACCGGGCGUUAAGUUGCAGGGUAUAGACCCGAAACCCGGUGAUCUAGCCAUGGGCAGGUUGAAGGUUGGGUAACACUAACUGGAGGACCGAACCGACUAAUGUUGAAAAAUUAGCGGAUGACCUGUGGCUGGGGGUGAAAGGCCAAUCAAACCGGGAGAUAGCUGGUUCUCCCCGAAAGCUAUUUAGGUAGCGCCUCGUGAAUUCAUCUCCGGGGGUAGAGCACUGUUUCGGCUAGGGGGCCAUCCCGGCUUACCAACCCGAUGCAAACUGCGAAUACCGGAGAAUGUUAUCACGGGAGACACACGGCGGGUGCUAACGUCCGUCGUGAAGAGGGAAACAACCCAGACCGCCAGCUAAGGUCCCAAAGUCAUGGUUAAGUGGGAAACGAUGUGGGAAGGCCCAGACAGCCAGGAUGUUGGCUUAGAAGCAGCCAUCAUUUAAAGAAAGCGUAAUAGCUCACUGGUCGAGUCGGCCUGCGCGGAAGAUGUAACGGGGCUAAACCAUGCACCGAAGCUGCGGCAGCGAACGUAUCACCCAAGACAACUUUACGGAGUUGACGAUUGACGGAGCGAAGCGACGUCAAAGCGUUCAUUAAAGUCGAGUUGGCUUAGGGAUACGUUCGUUGGGUAGGGGAGCGUUCUGUAAGCCUGUGAAGGUGUGUCGUGAGGCAUGCUGGAGGUAUCAGAAGUGCGAAUGCUGACAUAAGUAACGAUAAAGCGGGUGAAAAGCCCGCUCGCCGGAAGACCA
rnacentral:rRNA from 1 species